rnacentral:lncRNA from 1 species
GUUCUUUCCCCAAACGAUAUAAUUAUAAUACUUUUCACAAACCUCAACCCUAGAGACAAGAGAAAAAUUGGCCGCACCUAAUUCCUUCAUUUCAAAAAACACCCAGCAUAUUCAUCCAAACAUUUUUCUGCCAAUCUCAACGAUACCAACUUCCCAUCCAUUUUACGUCCUAAUUUAGCCUUUGAUCUUUAUUCCCUUUCCUUUUUCAAAUUUAUGUUGUUUCUCUAUUUCCUUGUUCGAUGUUAAUUAUUAAAAACUUCAAUUAUUAUGGCAUAAUCUCCUAAGACCCAGAAAGGUACGGGAACGAGAGUGGGAAUUAAAAAACGAAGCAGAAAAGCAAAAGGGGGAUGGGAACGAAAAUCCAAAGAGCAACGAAUCUCAAUGCUCCAUCUCAUAUUUUAUGGUCCAUUUACAAAAGUAGCGUCUCCUCCCAAACUUUAAUUUACAGUUACUGCUUCAUCUACAAGUGUAGCCUUAUCGGACAGCAGUGUGUCCUCAAUUGCUGACAAAUCUUUUUCAUUCUAAAGAGAUUUUGAAAAAAUAUAUAUAUAAAGGAGAUGAUGUUUCUUCUCGUCAAUUUCGGGCCUUUGAUUUUCAAUGGAGUUCGAUUGAGGCUGAGUCGUGUGAGAUCCGUGUGGAGCUGACGAGCGCGAGUUCCGUCGGAGGUACUGUUCACAAUCUUGUUGCUUAUGCGUUUCGAAGUUGUCCGAACAUUCAAAUUUUAGAUUCAAUAUUAAGGUCUAUUUCUCUUCACUAAUCCCAUUUGAUUUCUAUUUGUGCUUUCUUGUUUCUAAUAUCUGUUUUUAUUUUAAUUGCUUCUUCGUGGUUGUUGUAUAAAUAAUUUAUGAUUUAUAGUUGAGUGAGUGCAAAUGAUUUCACGUUUUCGCUGGGUAUUCAACUUGUAUUAGAUUUGAAAGUACUACUGUGUUGGGUAAGAUAAAUGGACAAUUGUAAAUUGAUUUGUCUUGGAUGAUGAAAUAAGCCGAAGGUUUUGGGCAUUAAAAAAAGUGAAAAACGAAAAUUUGGAUCUUAAAUCUUCAUUGUUUUUUUUAUAGCUUUAUUAUUCGUUUACUUCAUUAGGAGCAUAUUUAGGCCGUCAUCACCUGGGUAGGCAAACUUUUGGAUUUUUGUUAGUUUUGAGAAGAGAGGUCGUUCCCUUAGUUAAAUAUAUCCGGGGAAUACCUCGAAGGAUUUGUAUAUAUUUUAUUUCGGGGAAUGCCCCGUAGUAUUCUGUAAUUGGAGGUCGAAAGCGAACUCAUAAUACUUUUAUUCUUAUUUUUUUUUUUAUUUUUAUCUUUCUUUUAUUAGGUGAGAAUGAUCUUGAGCCUCUUAUGUGUUAAUUUUCCCAUUUCUGUAUUUAUCACCUCAAUUCGAAUAUUUUAAAACCAACUAGAUCGAGUAUGCAACCGUACUAGUUAUGGGACUCGGGGAAUGCCUAACAACUUCUCCUCGAGUCAAAUAAACUCCCUUACCUUGAAUCUCUGGUGCAAACUGGUUUAACAAUCAAAUGUGUUUUGAAGGAAAAUUGUUAUUUUGAAAAUGGUGACCUGGCACAUCAAAAUCAAAUGUCAGGUGACGACUCUGAAUAAUCUUUCGAAACAUAAAUACUUUGUCACUUUCAAAAUUGAAAACCCUUUUGAGCUUCAAAAUCCUUUUAUUAUUUUUAAGAGGGUUAGUGAUGAGUGAAAAAAAAGGGUGUGACACCUUGCUUUCAACUGCCUUAUCUCAGCAGUGGCACUGUUCUGAGCAUUGAUCUACUGAGAAAUGGUAGAAGUACUUCCAGCUUCUCUAGCCCUAUCAAUGCACUCACAUUCUUCGAGAGUGAACCUGGAGAAGGUUGCUUCUUAGUGACCACUUUAGCUUAUCCCAGAGGAACCUUGAAGUACUCAAAAACAUUGGUGAGAAGGAACCCAUAAUGCAGCCCAUGAUUACCAUCUUUAAAAUCUACAACUUGCUGCAUGUGCUCUAUCAUGAUACUAGGCAAAUUGAUGGUAGUGUAGUUGUCCAGUGCUUCCAUGAGGAACAUGUGUGCACGAGAAGUAAUAAAUCUUCUUUCAGCAUGAGGGAGCAAGACCUUGUUCCCCAUCUCAAAUAACAAUUGGUAAACUGGAAGGAGAGCCUUUUUCUGUACCCGUUUCCCUUGCUGAACUGCUCUGUCCUUCAGGAUAGUGUUUUUGAAGUUUUGAGAACAGUUCACUGAACAAUAGACAACCCUUCAGCAGGCACACCCAGAAUAGACCCCAACAAGGCAAAGUCCGUUACCAUAUCAACUCCAUUCACCAGUACACAGAUGUGAUCAUCCUCAACUUUGAAGAAGCCGAUAUAGAAUCUUUGUACUUCCUCCUCAUACACUUUUGGAGCAUCAUUUGUGAACAAAUGUGUCCACUGUUGAAACUAACAAAUUUCAACCAACUGUCGUAUUCCAGCCUCUUCAAAAAUGUUAGGGGCAAAUAUGCGGCCCCAUAACACUUUUUGAUUCCUCAAUUUCUCUUUCCCAACACUAUGGGGAUCACUAACUUUGAUCUUCUUGGAGGAACCAGGUUCCUCAUCAACAUCAACUUUUCUUUUAACAGACUUGCGAACAUACUUCCCUUUUUCAUCAGACUUCACAUAAUUUUAACCCAAUUCUUCCAUCACCUUGGCACCAGACUCUACCACCAACUUAUCACCAGAUUCCUUCAGUACAUUUUCACUAGAGACACCAUUAUCAACCUUGUUCAGAUUUUCAGCAUUCACAGAAGAUCCUUUUUUGGGCUUGGGGAGACCAUGCUUCUAUGAGCGCUUUCUAGUUAAGGAACUAGGUUCCUCUUCUUCUUCUUCUUCUUCAUCAUCCACAGUUACAACAGACACUGCCUUUUCACUCACAAACUUCCCAUCUUUCAUCAAUUUUCUUCUUCUUGAUUUAACUUGGCUAUUCUUAAGAGCAAACUCAAGAGCCUCCUUCUUUUGCAACCUUGUAGUAGGUUGUUUAGGAGUAGACUCUAGAGCAACAACUGGUCUCCACUUACCCAAGCUGGCAAUUGGCAAAUUAUCAGAAUCCUUCACUAUCCCCAUUUUGUUAUUUAGACACAGAUCUCAUCUCAGGCACAACCACACACAGAGGCUCAACAUAUAAAUGGGGGGAGAGAGUAGGGUUAGUGCUGACCUGGGGUUCUUGAGAGGACCCUGAGUUGGAUCCUCCGAAGAGGGAUCAGGUCCUACCGCAGGUUCCCCAGUAGCACUCUCCUGUGCCGAUGGUUCAAUAGGCACAAGCUCCUUACCUUCUAUCAAAGUCUUAGACUCAGACCCAUCCUCACCUCCUUCGAUAAUAACCCCUUCAUUUACUAUAGAUAACAUGUUUUUUAUUACUUCUUUCUCUUGUAAAUCCAUGGACAAUGUAGGAGUAGGAGGAGUGUUACCUAUGGACUCAAGAUUAGGAACUAUCUUCGUUGAGUCAGUAUCCUCAGAAUUAGCAGUUUGGUCGACAUUUGAACCUUUGUCCAUAGGAAGACUGGAUAUUUCUUGAUUUUCCUCUUCUUCAACUAUGCCUUUUUUACCUAGCUUUUACGGCAAGGCAAAGGGAGAACUCGUAGCCACAAACCUUUUAGGGGUCGAGCUUUUGCGGCUCCUAUGACAACCAGAACUCGAUUGUGUAGGUGAGUAGACUGAGUAUGAUGGUGACUCUGUUAGGGUUUUGGUAAGUAGUGGUGUUUAGUGAGGAGUAUGACAUCAGUGUUUUAACUAGUGAAGACUCAAUGUGUGUGUUGCUUGGAACACUCGAGGUUGCAUGAUUUUCAUCCAUGGUGAGAAGAAGAGAAGGGAUUUGGUAGUUUGAAGAGGAAAGAAUAAGGAAAAGUUUGAAGUUUGAUGUGAAGACUUAUGACAGUGAUAGAUCUAUUUAAGAUGGAUACGGGACCGGUUAGAAAGAGAGGCAGUUUUGGGAGUCAGGUCGAUUACCAACGGAGGAGACGUUUGUGUUCAAAAGAUGCUAGGAAAAGAAACUAACACACUGACGAUAUGACACUUAUUUUAACCGUCCAAAAUUGUGCAUGAGAGAACAGAGAAACUACUAACAUGUUUCAGAAGAACCAAGUUCCCUGACUAAUCUUGCAUCUGUAAGCUUUGCCCUUUUCCCAGCAUACACUAUAUCAACUGCUUAUUUGUUGUGUAAUCAUCAUGCGUGUCUACCUGUAAAGUUAUAAAGAUGAGUUAGACUUUCUCAGAAAACACUUUAUUUAUCUAAUUUUACCUGGACAUUUCUUUCAUAGCCAAUCAUCAAGGGACCAGGUUUUUACUUAGGUUUUAUCAACUCUAGUGCCAGGAGAUUUCUUUCAUAAUGUUCUCUGCUUAAUGCCUCGGUGAAUAUAUCAACAAUCUAAUCUUCUGUGCUGCAAAAUUUCAUGCAAAUGAGCCCAUUUUCAACAUUGUCUCCGAGGAAGUGAUGACGCACAUCAAUGUGCUUGGUUCUCUUAUGUUGGACUAGAUUUUUGGCCAUAUUGAGUACACUUGUAUUGUCACACAAGAGGGGCACACAGUCAGAGAACACUCCAAGUCUUCCAACUGCUGCUUGAUCCACAGUAGUUGAGCACAUCAAGAAGCAGCUGCUACAUAUUCCGCUUCUGUAGUUGAGAGUGCCACUGAGUUUUGCUUCAUUGUACCUCGUGAUAUUAGACAAGAACCCAAGAAAUGUGCAAUUCCGGACGUACUUUUCCUAUCCACCAGAUAUCCAACAUAAUCAGCAUCAACUUACCAAACAAGAUCAAAGUUGUCUCCUGAGGGAUAGUAGAGAACCAGGUCCUACGUUCCUUUGAGAUAUCUCAAUAUUCUCUUGGCAACCUUCAGAUGAGAUUCCUUUGGAUUGAAUUGAAACCUUGCACAGAGACCCACGCUGAACACACUGUCUGGUCUGCUUGUAGUGAGAUACAUAUGUGACCCUAUGAUCUCUCUAUACAUGGUCUGAUUUACAGGGGAACCAAGUUCAUCCAUGUCUAGAUGAGUAGCUGUGGCAAUAUAAGUGUCAAUAACUUUUAAUUCUUCCAUGUCAAACAUUUUCAAUAGCUCCUUGAUGUACUUCUGCUGACUUAUCAAUGUUCCCUUUUGAGAUUGUUUCACUUGAAGUCCUAGGAAGAAAUUUAAUUCUCCCAUCAUACUCAUCUCGAACUCACUCCCCAUGAGUUUUGCAAAUUCUUCACAUAGAGAGUCAGUUGUGGCUCCAAAAAUGAUAUCAUCAACAUAUACUGCACAAUGAGCAGGUUCCUCCCCCGUUUCUUCAGAAAAAAAGGUGUUGUCAAUUUUCCCUCUUGUAAAGCCAUUUUCUAGAAGGAAUUUUGACAACCUUUUAUACCAAGCCCAAGGAGCCUGCUUUAGCUCAUACAAUGCCUUGUCCAGUUUGAACACAUGCUCAAGAUGUUCGUGAUUCUCAAAUCUAGGUGGUUGCUUGACAUAAAAUUUUUUAGGAAGCCAUUCAGAAAUGCACUUUUGAUAUCCAUUUGGAACAGUUUGAAUUCCAUAUGUGAUGCAAAGGCAAUAAGAAUUCUGAUAGCCUCCAUUCAAGCGAUUGGGGUAAAAGUUUCAUCAUAGUUAAUCCCUUCUUCUUGAUUGUAGCCUUGAACUACAAGCCUUGACUUGUUUCUUGUUGUGUUUCCAAACUCAUCAAGCUUGUUCCUGAAUAACCACCUGGUUCCUAUAACAUUCGAUCUGCAGGUCGAGGAACCAGGUGACAUACCUUGUUCCUCUCAAAUUGAUGAAGUUCUUACUGCAUGGCUGUAAUUCAGUCUGCAUCUUUUAGUGUUUCCUUGAUAUUUUUGGGCUCUAUUUGAGAGAGAAAAGUUGAGAAGGCAAGUGAGUUUCUGGUCUUUGAUCUGGUUUGAAUUCCUGAAUCAAUAGGAGUGAUGAUGUUAUCAAUGGAGUGUGAACUUUUGUGUUUCCAGUUAGACACCUGAACCUCAUUGUGCAAAGUUCCAGGUAUUUCUGCCUGUAAGACUUGAUUUCUUCUUGUCUCAGCAUGUGGAGUUCCUUGAAAAACAUCGACAACUCUAUUUUCAGCUUCAGUUGUUGUAAUUGAGGGACCAGGUUCCUCUCCGUCAAUUGGAGAUAUGGUUGCACCAUCCUCAUUUGAUUCCUCAACGUGGCUCAUCAUAUUAGCUUUUCCAUUUGCCAUGUCAAUGAUUUCACCAGGGACCAAUAACUGUUCUCCGUCUUGAUCAUUCUUAUCAUUCAAAUUCUUUCUACAUGGGUCACGAGAUUCAUUGAAGAUCAUAUGAAUGCUUCCCUCAACACAUUGAGUUCUUUUGUUAUACACUUUGUAGGCUUUGUUGUGUGAUGAAUAGCCUAGAAAGAUUUCCUCAUCACUUUUGGCAUCGAAUUUUCCAAGAGCUUCCUUUCCAUUAUUGAGGACAAAACAAUUAUACCCAAAAGUCCUUAGAUGUGUCAGCUUAGGAUUCCUUCCAUUCAACAUUUCAUAUGGAGUUUUGUUCAGAAGGGACCUGAUCAUGCACCUGUUCACCAAGUAGUAAGCAGUGUUGACAACUUCUACCCAGAAAUUCUUUGCAAUCCCACUGUCAAUCAAUAUUUUCCUUGCCAUAUCUUCAAGAGUUCUAUUCUUCCACUCGACAACACCAUUUUAUUGAGGUGUUCUUGGAGCAGAAAAAUUGUGAGUGAUACCAUUUUCAGUACAUAACUCAACAAAUUUGGGAUUGUUGAACUCUGUCCCAUGAUUAGACGUGUUGCAAGCUACCUUAUUACCCAUUUUCACUUGGAUCUUUUUGACGAAGGCAAAAAACACUUCAAAAGUUUCAUCCUUGGUUCUAAGAAACAAAGUCCACAUGAAUCUGGAGUAGACGUCAACUAUAACGAAGAUGUAUUUCUUUCUUUCUCUGCUUGGCACCCUCAUAGGUCCAUAUAGAUCCAUGUGAAGAAGAUCAAGUGACCUCGAGGUACUGACUUCCUUUUUGGGCUUGAAUGAGGAUCUGUCUUGCUUCCCUUUUACAUAUGCAUCACACACUUUGUGAUCCUUGAAUCUUGAAUUGGGCAGACCACGAACCAGGUCCUUCCUGACCAAUUUAUUUAGCAACGUGAAGCUUACAUGAUCUAUCCUCCUAUGCCAUAAUUUAGCAUCAUCAUAAACAACACUUAGACAGCUGAGAUCACCACUCUACAUAGACUCAAAAUCAACAACAUAGAUAUUUUUGUAUUUUAUUAAGCUUGAAUCAGGUUGCAAUUCAUAAUUUUGAUGUUGUUUGAUGUAAUUUGAAGGCUCGACUAAGUUCGUAAUGUGUUUUAGAAUUGGUUGGUAUGAUUGGACGGGGGCCCGGAGGCCUCGGGUGGAUUUCGGGUGGUUAACAGAUCAAAUUUGCAUUUAGAGGAAGAGCUAAAGCAGCUAGGCAUCCGGUGUAAUAGCACCUGCGUGAAGUGGGCUGCAAGUGCGAGUCCGCAUGUGCAGGAAAUGACUCGCAGAAACGGAGGGGGGUUAGGUUGCUGAGAACCGCAGGAGCAGAAAAGUUUGCGCACCUGCGAUGGCAUAGGUGCGAGGUUAGUCAUUGUAGAAGCAGAAAGUGCCACAGGUGCGAAAGAAGUUGCCGCAUAAGCGGAAGCGCGGAUGCGGCCAAGGAGUCCGCAGGUGCGGAAAGUCAGUGGGCAGUGAGGUUUCUUUAAAACGGGACUUGGCCCAUUUUUCUCCCAUUGUUCUUUGGGUUAGGAAAUUUUGGAGAGCUUUAAGGGGAGAUUUUCAUCAAGCAACUCAAGGUAAGUGAUCCCCACUUAUUAUAAGUUAAAUACAUGAUUUGUAUAAGGAUUUAAACAUGCAAAUUAGUAUAAAUUAUGGGGUUUUUGAUAGAAAAUUUAGAAUUUGGUAUUUUGAAUUUUGACCAUGAAUUUGGGCAUGUAAUUGAGAAUAAAUUAUAUAUUUGAGUUCGUGAAGUUAUGGAUAAAGAUUAUCUUUGAAAAUUUUAGAAAUCUGGGCACGUGGGCCCGAGGGUGAUUUUAUCCGCUUUUCGAGCGGAGUUGGGAAAUUAUUUAAAUUGAAUUGUUGUGAGUAUUAGAGUAUAUUUUUAUAGGUUUGCACAUUUAUUGACUAGUUUUGGAGCGUUGGGCACUGGUUUGAUUCGCUGGAAGGGCUUGGGAGACGGUUAUGGAGCUUUAGAGCGAGGUAAGUCUCUUUUCUAACCUUGUAAGUGGGAAUUAAUCCCAUAUGUGAACUAAAUUAUUACAUACUUCUAUUUGUGGGUCUACGUUUGCAUGAGGUGACGAGAGUCCGUGCGUAGCUACCAUUAUGCUUAACUGCGGGUAGUCUAGGACCCAAAAGAUGCUAUACUUGCGAUAUUUACAACCUUAUUGUCAAUAUAAAUUGCUUAAAUCAUAUCAAGCUUAGUAAAUGAAUUUCUAAGAGGUUAACCUUUAUUUUCUUGACCGGUAAAAGAGGAUUUACAUUUCCUUGGAUAAUUGCUCCUUUAUGAAUUCUUGAUUGACUGUUGGAUUGUGUUUUCCUUUUAUGGAGCGGACCGAAUGCCUCGACAGAUAAAAUAGAUGCAUCUAUCAUUUGUGUUGUUCGACCCUUGGUAGUGCACAAUUUAAAUAUUAUGUUGGAUCGGGCCGUACGACCUCGACAUGAUUGCGCAUGACUUAAUUGAUUGUUUUGGAAUUAUUGAUACUUGAUGUGGCUUCAUUGGUCGGAGAUAUAAAUUGUUGAAAGACGAAAAUAAAUUUGGAAAUCUUCUAUUAACAAAAGAAUUGUUUACAUGUUUCAUGUUAUUGAGUUUACAGUCGUCUUAUAAAAUUCACGAUUAAUCAUAUUAUCGAUAUAUUAUUGUUGGCCAUAGUACGUGUCGGAGUCGGCCUUGUGUCACUACUUCUUCGAGAUUAGACUGGAUACUUACUGGGUACGCAUUAUUUUCGUACUCAUACUAUACUUGCUGUACAUUUUGUUGUACAUGCACAUAUAUGGCUAGUGGCCUAGCUAGCACAACGACAUAGUUGGCGCGGGGACUUAGGUGGGCUGCAUUCCAUAUUAUGACCCGCAGCUAGCAGAGUCUCCUUUAGGGUAUUUUCAUUGUUUUCUUUCCUGUCCAAAUUUGUAUUCUGGACAGUUGUUGUAUUUUAUUUUCUUUCCUAGUAAAUGCUCAUUCAAUUAUGACACCGGAUUCUGGGAGGAUUAUGUGAUAUUCAGUAUUGAAAUUGGAAAACAUUAUUAUUUAUUCUGAUAGAAACUAAGCGUUAUAGAGAAGCAAGUUCUCUAUCAGUUCCUACCGUAAGCAAUAGACUGUAGAACCAAAUAGUAUAGGGAAUCAAGUUCUCUAUUUGUUCCCACUGUAAAUCGAUAGUAAAUAAAGAACACAGAGGAAUUUUACGUGGAAAACUCCCAGCUUAACGGGAUUCAAAACCAUGACCUACCCUUGUAGGAUUUCAACUUCACUACUGAGCAAUCUUUAGAUUACAACCUACUGUAACCUAGGAAUUAACCUCUUAAUCCCUCACUAACUUGUAGCUACACUAUUACAAGCCACUUUGUAAUAACUCUAUUACAAAUAGUUNNNNNNNNNNNNNNNNNNNNNNNNNNNNNNNNNNNNNNNNNNNNNNNNNNNNNNNNNNNNNNNNNNNNNNNNNNNNNNNNNNNNNNNNNNNNNNNNNNNNNNNNNNNNNNNNNNNNNNNNNNNNNNNNNNNNNNNNNNNNNNNNNNNNNNNNNNNNNNNNNNNNNNNNNNNNNNNNNNNNNNNNNNNNNNNNNNNNNNNNNNNNNNNNNNNNNNNNNNNNNNNNNNNNNNNNNNNNNNNNNNNNNNNNNNNNNNNNNNNNNNNNNNNNNNNNNNNNNNNNNNNNNNNNNNNNNNNNNNNNNNNNNNNNNNNNNNNNNNNNNNNNNNNNNNNNNNNNNNNNNNNNNNNNNNNNNNNNNNNNNNNNNNNNNNNNNNNNNNNNNNNNNNNNNNNNNNNNNNNNNNNNNNNNNNNNNNNNNNNNNNNNNNNNNNNNNNNNNNNNNNNNNNNNNNNNNNNNNNNNNNNNNNNNNNNNNNNNNNNNNNNNNNNNNNNNNNNNNNNNNNNNGCUAGCACUUGAGAGAAUAUUUUCUUUUGAUUUUGCAAGUGUUAGAGAGAUGAAAUCCCUUUGCUCAUGUUGAUAAUAUAUAUGUGUGUGUUUGUUUGUGUGUGUGAUGUCAUCAAGGAUGAUGCAAUAAAGUGCCCUUUAGUUUGGCCUUAGCAAGCUACAGCUGUGCUGCUGUACUGCUGCCAGAUGGUACAGUGCAGUAGCUUUACAGCUGUAGAGUUGACUGUAGAACGAUGAUGGGAACUGAUCCCUAUCUAGCCCUCUGCUGUUUCCUUAUCUGAUUUCAUUGAGAAUUGAACCAGACAUCUAACUAGUUAUUCUGAAUGCAAGGGAACUUAAUUAUAUCAGAUUCCUUAUUUUGUUCUCUCAUGAAGUAAGUUGUUUUACCUUCCUUGAUUGUAUUUAUAGAUGUGUGACAUCACUUCUAAUGAUGUAAGCAAGGUAGGUAAAAAGCCUUCCAUAGAAAGUUGACUGCUGCAAUGUAGCAUGUGCAGGCAACAACUUUCUAACUGGAGAGUUAACUUCGUACAGUCUCCUCAGGAACAUGUAGGGACCUAUUCCCUCAGCUAUUCCUUCCGCUCUGAAGAGUUGAGUUAUAUCCCAUGCUAGAUCCCAACCUGGAACUUUUGUGAUCUUAAGGUCUUGUAAAUGUGUAAUAGGUUCCUUAUCUGGUUCUGGAUGGAUUACAUCAUCAAAAUAUAAAGUAAAGUACUUAUGCCCAAAGUAUUUGUAACCUAUCAUAUUCUGUAAAGUUCAUCUGUUACUAGUUAAAUUGAAGGAAAAUUUAUGAUUUCAAAAAUAUUAAAAUAAGAACCAAAUUAAUUAUUUAUUAUUGUCUUGCCUGACAGCGGUGUCCGGUGCCAUCACGACCUUUAAUGGAUUUUGGGUCAUGACAUGAGAACCUUUGAACUAGCAAACUUUUGUAACAUGACCUAUUUGUUUCUAAUUUACACAUAAUGCAUCAGGUCUCCACCAACAAAAUCUUUUUAAGUGUGUUUUUGUUUUGAAAUAUUUGCAAUUAGGAUAAUCGACUUUUUCUUUUAGGUGUUCCAUAUAAAAAUUACCCUCAGUAACUUUGUCUUGUCUUAAGGCCCUUAUUUGCUAUUGUGCUUGAAGAUUGCUUGUUAAUUUUUCAACAGAGAUGGUAGAGAGAUCCUUAGACUCUUUUAUAGAGAAAAUUUUGGACUCAAAUCUCUCGAAAAUUAUCACAAGAAAUUUUUUAACUAUACUGUCAUCUUUAAAAUCCUCGCCAAACAACCUGAUUCUAUUGGAAAUUAAAGAAAUUCUAUUACAAUACUUAAUGAUGGUCUCAUCAUCUUGCAUUCUAUGAGAUUAAAUAUCUCUUUUCAAAUUCAAAAUUUGAUUUUGUCUGCCUCGUUCACUUUCUUGAUAUUCCUAUUUGAGUUUUUUUCAAGCUUCUUAUUAUCUCACAUACAAUCAUUUUAGAGAAGAUUGAAUUUGCCACUGAAUUUUGAAUUAUAGUUUUGGCUUUGUAUUUUUUGGUUUUCUCUUCUGAAUGAGCUUUGAUUUGGGCAAAGCUAGGAUUCACAAGAAGUGAUGUGAGGACCCAAUAGAUCAUCUAGAGUUUUAGAACGUAAUUAUGUAUUUCGAAGCCUCAAACACCUCAUUUUAGCAUUCCUUGAUUUGCAUGCCAGUCCAGGACUUUAUCUAGAGGGCUGUUGUGUUAGAAAUUGAUAAAAUAUGAAAUUUUUCUUUAGAACAUCGAUCAAUAUUUUGAGCAAACGGAUGCAAAUCUAUGAUUUGAUGAUCCCGGUGAAUUCGUAUCGUGAUUUGGGACUUGGGCACAUGCCCGUAAUCAAAUUCGAAGGUCCCUAGCUUGAGUUUUUGUAAUUUGUUUAAAAUUUGAAGUUUAAAGGCUUAAUGAAUCUAAAAGUUUGACCAAUGUUUGGCUUUAUUGAUAUCGGGUCCGUAUUUUGCUUGUGGAACCCAGUAUAGGUCCGUUACUAUAUUUUUGACUUGUCUAUCAAAUUUGGAGAGAAAUGGAGUUACUUUGACGUGAUUCAAAUGUCCGGUUGUUAAAAUAGCAAUUCUAAAGUUUUAUUGAAAAUUUCAUUUGAUUUGGUGCCCGAUUAAUAGUUCUAGGUGUUAUUUUGGCGAUUUGAUUAUGCGAGCAAAUUUGUAUGAUAUUUUUUGGACUUGUGUGCAUGUUUGGUUUGGAGCCCCAUUGGCUCGGGUGAGUUUCGGAUAGGCUACAGAGUGGUUUGGACUUAGAAAAACAAAGUUGGUGUGCUUCAGUUCUGGUGCGGGCCUCAGGUGAGGUCAGACCUUGCAUUUGCGACACUGCAAAACUCCUAUUAGGUUCACAAUUGAAAGAUACUUCCUCACAAUUGUGAAGAAUAGCUGGGCACCACAGGUUCACAUUUGCAACCAAUGGGGUCGAUUGUUUCAGAUGACGGGUUCUACCAAGAGGUGGUGGAAGGAUUAUGUAUCUACUAUACCAGCUGGGUCACCUGCUCUUAGUUGGGACUAGUUCUCUCAACUAUUUCUUGAGAAGUUCCUUCCUAUCAUAUUGAGAGAGGAUUACCGUAAUCUGUUUGAGCGUCUCCAACUGGGUAGUAUGUCAGUCACUCAGUAUGAGACUUGUUUUUUGGAACUAGCCCAUCAUGCUCUUCUUAUGCUUCCUACUGAGAGAGAGAGUGAGAGAGUGAGAGAGUGAGAUGAGGUUUAUUGAUGGACUCGCUCACCCUAUCAAUCUACAGAUGGCCAAGGAGACUGAGGGUGAGAUUUCUUUUGAGACGACUGCUAAUUUCACCAGGUGGAUCAAGAUUGUUCUUUCAUAGGAGAGAGAGCAGAGGUUUGAUAAGAGGCCUCGUCAUUCCGAUGGAUUCAGUGGUGCUUCAUCUGGAUGCAGGGAUGCUUUUGGUAGAGGCCAUCCUCCCAAGCUGUUUCAUUCAGCGUUCGUGGCAUCCCAUAAUGCUUUAGGUGGUCGUGGCCCUCAUAUGUCUCAUUCCGAUGAACUAGCCUACAACGCACCACCAGCUCCUAUCGGUGCACUUCCGCUCCAGAUUUUUUAGGGUGGUUACUCAGGUCGACAGGGUCAGCAGUCAGAACAGCCGUGGUCCUAUUAUACUUGUGGUGACCCGAGGCACAUUGCUAGAUUUUGCCCUUGGGCACCGGGAAGCUCACAAUAUCAGGGUUCUUGUGCCAUGGUCCCGGCACCGGGUGCUUCACCGCCUGCUUAGCCAGCUAGAGGUAGGGGUCAGACAGCUAGAGGUGGAGGUCAGGACAUUAGAGGUGGAUGUCAGGCUGCUAGAGGUGGAGGCCAUCAAACUAUGUCUCGUCCUAGAUAUGUAGUUCGGCGUGGUGGGGCCCAACCCCGAUGUUAUGCCUUCCCAGCAAGGCCUGAGGCUGAGUCAUCUAAUGCUGUUAUCACAGGUACUAUUUCAGUUUGCCAUAGAGAUUCUUUAGUUCUAUUUUUUCCAGGCUCAACUUAUUCGUACAUGUCAUCCUAUUUUGCUUCAUAUUUGGUUGUGCCGCGUGAUUCUUUGAGUGCUCAUGUGUAUGUGUCCACUCAUAUGGGAUAUUCUAUUGUUGUAGAUCGUGUUUAUCGUUCGUGUAUGGUUACUAUUGGGAGCCUUGAGACUAGCGUAGAUCUUCUACUUCUCAAUAUGGUAGAUUUUGAUGUUUUCUUUGGUAUGGAUUGGCCGUCACCUUAUCAUGCUAUAUUAGAUUGUCACGCCAAGAAGGUGACCUUAGCCUUGUCGGGGUUGCCUUGAUUAGAGUGGAGAAUGACUCAUGGUCAUUCUACCAGCAGGGUUAUCUCUUAUGUGAAGGCUUGGCAUAUGAUUCAAAAAAGGUGUCUAGUUUAUUUGGCUUAUGUUCGCGAUUCUAGUGUAGAGGUUCCUUCCAUGGAUUCAGUACUACGUUGUUCGUGAGUUUCCAGAGGUGUUUGCUGCAGACCUAACAGGGAUGCCACCCGAUAGGGAUAUUGACUUCAUUAUUGAUUUGGCUUCGGCCACUCAGCCCAUUUCUAUUUUAGUAUACCGUAAGGCCCCGUUGGAGUUUAAAGAAUUGAGGGAACAAUUGCAAGAUUUACUUGAUAAGGGCUUCAUUAGACCUAGUGUCACGUCAUGGGGUGUGCCUGUGUUGUUUGUGAAAAAGAAGGAUGGGUCGAUGAGGAUAUGCAUAGAUUACAGGCAAUUGAACAAAGUCACCAUCAAGAACAAGUUUCCAUUGCCGAUGAUUGAUGACUUAUUUUAUCAGCUUCAGGGUGCCAAGGUGUUUUCAAAUAUUGAUUUGAGGUCUAGCUACCAUUAGUUGAGGAUUAGGGCAUUCGAUGUCCCUAAGACAGCUUUUUGGACUCGGUAUGAGCAAUAUGAGUUUCUAGUAAUGUCAUUUGGGCUGACAAAUGCCCUAGCAAUAUUUAUAGAUUUGAUGAACCGGGUGUUUAACUCCUAUUGGUAUUCCUUUGUGAUUGUGUUAAUUGAUGAUAUCUUGAUAUACUCCUGUUUCCGAGAGGAGUAUGAGCAACAUCUUCAGAUUGUACUUCAGACUCUGAGAUAGCUAGUUAUAUUCUAAGUUUUCAAAGUGUGAGUUUUAGUUGGACUCAGUUGCUUUCUUAAGGAACGUAGUAUCAGCAGAGGGCAUUCAAGUGGAUCCUAAGAAGAUUGAGACAGUUCGGAUCUGGCCUAGACCCAGUUCAGCUAUGGAGAAUCGGAGCUUCCUGGGUUUGGCGGGUUAUUACUGUUGGUCCGUGGAGGGGUUUUCAUCUAUAGUUGCCCCAUUGACUAGGUUGACCUAGAAGGGUGCCCUUUUAGAUGGUUAGACGAGUGUGAGACGAGCUUUCAGAACUCAAGAUUACUUCGCCUACUGCGCCAGUGUUGGUGUUGACCACAGGUUCAGGAUCUUACACGGUGUAUUAUGAUGCAUCUCAUAUUGGGCUUGGUGCAGUAUUGAUGCAGGAUAACCGAAUGAUUGCAUAUGUGUCAUAGCAGUUGAAGUUUUAUGAGAAAAAUUACCCUGUUCAUGACUUAGAGUUGGCAGCCAUUGUUCAUGUGCUGAAGAUUUGGAGGCACUAUCUUUACGACGUGUCAUGCGAGGUAUUCACAGAUCAUCGAUGUUUGUAGUAUUUGUUCAAACAGAAGGAUCUCAAUUUGAGGCAUAGGAGAUAGUUGUAGUUGUUGAAAGACUAUGAUAUAACCAUCUUGUAUCAUCCCAAGAAGACCAAUGUGGUGGCCGAUGCCUUGAGUAGAAAGGCAGUGAGUAUGGGUAGCCUUGCAUACAUUCCAGUCGGUGAGAGACCGCUUGCAUCAGAUGAUCAGGAUUUGGCCAAUAAGUUUGUGAGGUUGGAUGUUCAAAGCCCAGUUGUGUUCUAGCUUGUAUAGUCGCUCGGUCUUCCUUGUUUGAGCACAUCAAGGAACGGUAGUAUGAUGACCCUCAUAUGCUAGUCCUUAACGACAUAGUACGAUAUGGAGGUUCUAAGAAGGUUACUGUGGGAGAUGAUGGAGUUUUGAGGAUAAAAAGUCAUAUUUGUGUGUCUAAUGUAGAUAGACUUCGUGAGUUGAUUCUUGAGGAGGCCCACAAUUCUCGGUAUUCUAUUCAUCCAGGUGCUGCCAAGAUUCAUUAGGACUUGCGGAAGCGUUAUUGGUGGAGGAGGAUGAAGAAGGAUAUAGUUGCAUAUGUAGCUUGGUGUCAAAAUUGUUAGCAAGUAAAGUAUAAGCAUCAGAAACCUGGUGGUUUGCUUCAGAAGUUAGAAAUUCCUAAGUAAAAGUGAGAGUGUAUCACUAUGGACUUUGUUGUUGGGGUCUUACGAACUCAACAGAAGGUUGAUGUAGUUUGGGUGAUCGUGGACAGGCUGAUCAAGUCAGCGCAUUUCAGUCCUGUGGUAGUUACCUAUUCUUUAGAGCGGUUGGCUGGGAUUUACAUCCGGGAGAUCAUUUUUCUCCACGGUGUGCCCAUGUCUACCAUUUCUGAUCGAGGUAUGCAGUUCACCUUGCACUUCUGGAGGGUAGUACAACGUGAUUUGGGCAUGCGGGUUGAGUUGAGCACAACAUUUCAUCCUUAGACGGACGGACAGUCUGAUUCCACUAUUUAGAUAUUGGAGGAUAUGCUCCGCACUUGUGUUAUAGACUUCGGAGGUUCUUGGGAUUAGUUCUUGCCACUUGGGAAGUUUGCCUGCAAUAACAGCUACCACUCGAGCAUUCAGAUGGCUCCAUAUGAGGCAUUAUACGGGAGGUAGUGCGGUUCCCCAGUUGGAUAGUUCUAGUAGGGGGAGGCUCGGCUGUUGGGUGCAGAUUUGGUACAGGAUGCCUUGGAUAAGGUCAAGAUUAUUUAGUAUCAACUUCGCACAACUCAGUCUAGGCAGAAGAGUUAUGCUGACCGUAGAGUUCGUGAUGUUGCAUUCAUGGGCGGAGAGAGGGUGUUGCUUCGGGUUUCACCCAUGAAGGGUGUGAUGAGGUUUGGAAAGAAGGGCAAGUUGAGCCCUAGGUAUAUCGGACCUUUUGAUAUUCUUCAGAGAGUGGGUGAGGUAGCUUAUAAACUCGUAUUGCCACCUAGCUUGUCAGCAGUCCAUCCGGUGUUCCAUGUUUCCAUAUUUUGUAAGUAUCACGAUGAUCUGUCCUAUGUGUUGUAUUUCAGCUCGGUCCAGUUGGACAAGGAUUUAACUUAUGAGGAGGAUCCGGUGGCCAUUCAAGUCCGGCAGGUUUGUCAAUCGAGGUCAAAGAGUUAUCCUUCAGUUCGAGCGUAGUGGAGUGGUCAGCCCAUCGAGGAAGCUACUUGGGAGUCCAAGUCGGACAUGCGGAGUAGAUAUCCACACCUUUUUGCCAGUCCAAGUACUUUUUUAUGUCCGUCCGAGGACGAACUGUUGUUUUACAGGUGGAGAAUGUGAUUACCUGAUAGGUCAUCUAGCGUUUUAGAACUUAAUUCUGUGUUUCGAAGCCUCAAACACCUCAUUUUAGCCUUCUUCGAUUUGCAUGCGUAGUCUGGGUCUUUUUCUGGAAGGCUGUUAUGUAAGAAAUUGCUAAAAAAUAAAAUUUUGCCUUAAAAAUCUAUUUGAGUUAACUUCGUUCAACGUAUUGAGAAAACAGACCUAGAUCUGUAUUUUGAUGGUCCCGGUGGAUUCGUAUCAUGAUUUGAGACUUGGGAGUAUGCCCGUAAUCGAAUUCGGAGGUCCUUAGUUCGAGUUUUUGCAUUUUGUGGAAAAAUUAAAGUUUGAAGGCUUAAUGAAUCUAAAAGUUUGACCAAUGUUUGACUUUAUUUACAACGGGUCUGUAUUUUGGUUUCGGAACCUGGUAUAGGUCUGUUUCUAUAUUUAUGACUUGUCUGUCAAAUUUUGAGGAGAAAUGGAGUUAAUUUGACGUGAUUCAGAUGUCUGGUUGUUAAAAUAGCAAUUCUAAAGUUUUCAUGAAAAUUUCAUUUGAUUUGGUGUUUGAUUCAUAGUUCUAGGUGUUAUUUUGGAGAUUUUAUCGCCCGAGCAAGUUUGUAUGAUGUUUUUGGGAUUUUGUGUAUGUUUGGUUUGGAGCCUGAGUGCUCGGGUGAGUUUCAGAUAGGCUACGAAGUGGUUUGGACUUAGAAAAACAAAGUUGGUGUGCUUCAGUUCUGGUGCAGGCCUCAGACCUCGCAAUUGCAAGGUCAGGCCUCGCAUUUUACAACGCUGCAGAACUCCUGUCAGGUUCGCAAUUGUGAGCUAUUUCCUGGCAAAAUACGAAGACUAACUGGGCAUCACUGGUUCGCAUUUGCGACCAAAUUUAUCGCAAUUGCGAAGUGGGGCUGGGGGGACAGUCGCAUUUGCGAUCAAAUUUAACGGUCAUAUUUGCGGGAUGGCCAUUGUUCGCAAUUGUGAACAAAUCAUGACAAUUGUGAACAAAUCAUCGCAAUUGCGAUGAUAGCAGAAAUGCUGAGACUUCGUAUUCGCAAAGGUUUUCUCGCAUUUGCGAGGUUCGCAAUUGCAAACCCCAGGUCGCAAUUGCGGCAUCUGCAACUGGUCAAAAUCUGAGUUAGACAGGAUUUUCUCUCAUUCUUCAAAUUUUCAAACCUAGAGAACCCUAGAGGAGGUUUUCCCCAGAGCCCUUCUUCCCCCAUUCACUAAUAAGUGAUUCUAAUAUAUUUUCUUUCACUUCUCCAUUACAUUUCAUAAGAUUUCAACCUAAAAUCUAGGAUUUUUGUGGUAGAAAUUAGGAGUAUGGGUAGAAUUAGGUACUUUUAUAAAAUUAGAAUUUAGGCCUUAAAUAAAGGUCGGAUUUCGAAACAAAUUACAUAACCGGGCUCGGGAAUGAAUUUGUGAUCGGGUUUUGAUCUGAAUUUCGGAUUUGGACCAAGCGGGCCCGGGAGUGACUUUUUUUACUUUUCAAUAUUGACCUAAAUUGUAUCUUUUACAAUCGUGGGUAGUUCCUAAGGCUUAUUUUGAAUUGUUUGGUUGAUAAUUUGCUAUAUUUGGUUGGUUCGGAGGCUUGUUUGAAAGGCAAAGACGUGGUUGAGCUCUGAGUUGAUCUUUGGAGAGAGGUAAGUGUCGUGGUUAAGCUUGACUUGCAGGAUUAGGACUUGUUUGCCUAUUUGCUACCUGUAUAGAUGUUGGGUACAAUAUAUAUGUGAGGUGACGAGUACUUAUGCAUUUGUGUUGGGUUAAAGCAUGCGGGUGAGACUUGUUUCUUGUAAAUUAUUGCUUUCUUUGAUCAUGAUAUCCAUGCCUAGACUUGUUUAAUUACUAAAUUGAUCGUUCUUUAUGCAUUUAUGGACUGUCUAUGAUAAUUGAGUAUUGUUUUUCUGAAGUUGAGGUUGGUUUUGUGGAAUCAUUGUUGACGUAAAGCUUGUCCUGGUUUAUUUCAUCUCCCUAUUGUUAUAUGUUCAUUGUUAUAUGAUAAGGGAGAGUUUAAUGGACAAAAGGUGAUGUCAUGCCAUAUUUGAGAGUUAAUGCACGAAAGGUGAUGUCAUGCCAUAUUUGAGAGUUAAUGCACAAAGAGUGAUGUCGUGCCAUGUUUGAGAGUUAAUGCACGAAGGGUGAUACCGUGCCGUAUCUAUUGAUUUAUGAUUAAAGUGAGAGUAAAAACAUGAAGGGUGAUGCCAUGCUGUUAUUUAUGUUUCAUAGUGAGGUUGAGAGUAAAAGCACGAAGGGUAACGCCGUGUAGUAUUAUUCAUCAUGCGUAUUCGUUUUGCUGGUUAAAGGCUUAUUGACUCUUUCUUGUUAUUAUUCCUUGAUGAGUUUAUCUUAUCUUGUACCUCUUUCGCAUGUCCCCUCCAAACAAUAUCUGUUUAGCCUUUAUUUGUUAUUAUGUUGUAUGCAUACUGUUAUCUGCACAGGUUUAAUUUUGUGGGUGUCUUGUCAUAGCCUUGUCACUACCUCGUCGCUAUUAGGCUCGACACUUAUGGAGUACAUGUGGUUGGUUGUACUCAUACUACACUCGCACUUCUUGUGCAGAUUAUGGUACUGGACCCAGUUGCCCUGAGGUGCAUCAUCUCGGAUCAACUGACUUGGAGACUCGAGAUAGAUCUGCUGGCGUCCGCAGACCUUGAAGUCCCCUUCUAUUUCCCUUAUUUACUGCUCUUUUCAUUCGAGACAGUUGUACUUAUUUCAGACUAUGUUUGUAGAAAUUCUAGAAGCUCGUGAACUUGUGACUCCAGAUCCGGGUUGUAUUAGAUAUUGGUUUAUUACGUUAUUUUGUACUUUAUUUUGAACUUCAUUUCUGUUUGAUUGGUUCUACUAAUUUGAAUUGGUUAAAAUUGGCUUAAAAAUUCUCUAAUAUUGGUUUGCCUAGCAAGUGAAAUGUUAGGCGCCAUCACGGUCCCAAAGGUGAAAAUUUCGGGUCGUGACAAGUGGUUGUAUGAGUCUGUCUUCUAUUACAACUUCCC